rfam:Larimichthys crocea isolate SSNF unplaced genomic scaffold scaffold469, whole genome shotgun sequence.
UAAUUGGCUCUUUUCAGAGCCACACACAAUCGUUAAAGAGCUUAUU